UACGAAGGGGGCUAGCGUUGCUCGGAAUUAUUGGGCGUAAAGGGUGCGUAGGCGGUUUGGUAAGUCUUGUGUGAAAUCUACAGGCUCAACUUGUAGUCUGCACGAGAAACUGCCGGGCUUGAGUAUGGGAGAGGUGAGUGGAAUUCCUGGUGUAGCGGUGAAAUGCGUAGAUAUCAGGAGGAACACCUGUGGCGAAAGCGGCUCACUGGACCAUAACUGACGCUGAUGCACGAAAGCUAGGGGAGCAAACAGG
rnacentral:rRNA from 1 species